AAUGGAACCUCGGUGCUGUGAAGA
rnacentral:piRNA from 1 species